rnacentral:lncRNA from 1 species
CAACAGAAAGGUGGGGAGGAGAGAUGCAACACUCGAUCUACUUCGGUUGCAACAAAAGGUCAAGGUAAAUUGAAACACUUUAAACAUUCUACUGAAACACUUGAAAAAAAAUAUCUGAAAAUGCACUUAAAAACCAUAGCAACUAUAUGCAAACAUCCAAAAUAAACACAUUCAACUUCUGAAACAAUCCAAAAUAUACUAUUCCAACAUGCGAAAACAAUUACAACAUAUGC